rnacentral:lncRNA from 1 species
AAUGAAAGCGGCAGAUGAAGCAAAAAUUUUAAUAUGAAUCUCAUCAGACCAAAGGAGUGCUAAGCUGUAAUAUACCGAAACUCGGUAGAGAAUAUCGAACUUUAGUCAAAUUGAUUAAAGUCUGCAAAAUAAAUAGUUGGACAAGGUCCAUUUAACAUUCCAACCAUGUUGGAAGGGUUAAAGUUGAGUUUCAAAGGAGUUAGAAAGGUUUUAACAUUGCUCGGUGAGAAAUAGAAUCGAAACAAUACGAAACUGAAAUUCUGGAAGUUUGUAACCGGUUUAGCACCAGGGGUGUACCGGUACCAGUCGGCUGACCGAGAGCAGCAG